rnacentral:tRNA from 1 species
UCCCUGGUAGCUUGGAUGCUAAAGCGUCUGCCUACAAUGCAGGAGACCCGGGUUCGAUCCCUGGAUCGGGAA